UACGUAGGGUGCAAGCGUUGUCCGGAAUGAUUGGGCGUAAAGCGUCUGUAGGUGGCUUUUUAAGUCCGCCGUGAAAUCCCAGGGCUCAACUCUGGACAGGCGGUGGAAACUAGCAAGCUGGAGUACGGUAGGGGCAGAGGGAAUUUCCGGUGGAGCGGUGAAAUGCGUAGAGAUCGGAAAGAACACCACCGGCGAAAGCACUCUGCUGGGCCGACACUGACACUGAGAGACGAAAGCUAGGGGAGCGAAUGGG
rnacentral:rRNA from 1 species